GUUUUUUUUUUUUUUUUUUAUAAACAAAAAUUGUGUAUCCCAAAGGUUUUGUUUUUUUUAACUGUAAACAUUUCUUGUUACAAUGAAUUACUUACUACUGUACAUUUUUGAUCCUUUUUAGAAUGUGUUUCUUUUUUUCAAGUCUUAUCAUUUUUAAGAACCUACUUAAAACCAAAAACCUGACUUUUCUCACUCAACUGUAAAGACUUUUGACCUCAAUGUAUAUCUAACUAUGUAGCUAUAUAGCAAUCAAUGUAGCUACUUUAUCUCAGUAUUUUUUAUUAAGAACUCUUAUUGUGCACAGAAAGUGGCUAGAAUAAAAUUCUUGUCAAAGAUUUAUUUCAUACAACGUAUAGUUUUUCUUUUUCUUUCUUAUUUUGUCGGAGGGUUCAGAUCAAUAAUCCUAUAUCUGAGAUUAACUGCGCAGUGGUUCCCAAAUCAGGCAGUUCUCCAUUUUGUUUUUCAUCUAUAGCAGGAUUUUUGGGCCAGUUUUGUUGGGGCCUCUUAAUAUAGUAUGCAGCUUUGAAGGACAUGGUCAGUAUUCUCUUCCACAAAUGCAAAUUUCGCUAGUCCCCACUUUAAACUUCCGAAACAUGUUGUCUCAUUCUGUCUAGUUUUGUCUGGUUCUGAAUCAAAAAAUUAUGCAUUGGUCAUGUUGAGAUAGCUUAUAAAAGUAUAGUUUAAAAUUUCGAUGUGGUCCAAUUGUGUGUAAUAAUGAAGGAAUGCAACAACAAAAACGUGCUUAUUAAGCUAAACUGCUGUUAAGUGAGGAGUUUAUAUCCUCUAGACUUGCUCUGCUGUUAGGGACACUUACUACACAUCAAGCCCAGUAAAAAUUGGGGUGGGUGUUAGUCAAAACAUUUGAAAGACUUUGAACACGUUUUGUAAACAAGUCAGCAGGAAAUAAAUAUUCCUAAGAAAGUUUGAGGGAAGGGUUAAAAAUAAUGUAAUCACCUAGAAAAGUCUUUUGGAGUGACUUUAUAAGGAAAAUGAGGCAUGAAAUCAUAGGUAAUUGGUCAGUAGUCAUUGCCCAUUUGUUCACAGUUCAUUGUUUAUGGUUGAUAGCUUUUUGUUGGUCUUGCUUGGUACUUGAACCAUUUAGAUAAGUGAUUUUUGUUUAAUGUAAAUUUGUGUUCAUUGAUUUUUUCAGUAAUUGAUUUUGAAGAUAUUAAAUUCUGAUUGAAUUUCAA